UACGUAGGUGGCAAGCGUUGUCCGGAAUUACUGGGUGUAAAGGGCGCGUAGGCGGGACUGCAAGUCAGAUGUGAAAUUCCCAGGCUCAACCUGGAGGCUGCAUCUGAAACUGUGGUUCUUGAGUGCUGGAGAGGAAAGCGGAAUUCCUAGUGUAGCGGUGAAAUGCGUAGAUAUUAGGAGGAACACCAGUGGCGAAGGCGGCUUUCUGGACAGUAACUGACGCUGAGGCGCGAAAGCGUUGGGGGCAAAAAGG
rnacentral:rRNA from 1 species